rnacentral:rRNA from 1 species
UACGAAGGGGGCUAGCGUUGCUCAGAAUGACUGGGCGUAAAGGGCGCGUAGGCGGAUGGCAUAGUCAGAUGUGAAAUUCCCGGGCUUUAACCUGGGGGACUGCAUUUGAUACGUGUCGUCUUGAGUUUCGGAAGAGGGUCGUGGAAUUUCCCAGUGUAGAGGUGAAAUUCGUAGAUAUUUGGGAAGAACACCGGUGGCGAAGGCGGCGACCUGGUCCGAUACUGACGCUGAGGCGCGAAAGCGUGGGGGAGCAAACAGG